CGCUGGCGGCGUGCUUAACACAUGCAAGUCGAACGGAAAGGCCCUUCGGGGUACUCGAGUGGCGAACGGGUGAGUAACACGUGGGUGAUCUGCCCUGCACUUUGGGAUAAGCCUGGGAAACUGGGUCUAAUACCGAAUAUGACCACGCGCUUCAUGGUGUGUGGUGGAAAGCUUUUGCGGUGUGGGAUGGGCCCGCGGCCUAUCAGCUUGUUGGUGGGGUAAUGGCCUACCAAGGCGACGACGGGUAGCCGGCCUGAGAGGGUGACCGGCCACACUGGGACUGAGAUACGGCCCAGACUCCUACGGGAGGCAGCAGUGGGGAAUAUUGCACAAUGGGCGCAAGCCUGAUGCAGCGACGCCGCGUGAGGGAUGACGGCCUUCGGGUUGUAAACCUCUUUCAAUAGGGACGAAGCGCAAGUGACGGUACCUAUAGAAGAAGGACCGGCCAACUAC
rnacentral:rRNA from 1 species